rnacentral:rRNA from 1 species
ACGCUAGCGACAGGCUUAACACAUGCAAGUCGAGGGGCAGCACAGGUAGCAAUACCGGGUGGCGACCGGCGCACGGGUGAGUAACGCGUAUGCAACUUGCCUAUCAGAGGGGGAUAACCCGGCGAAAGUCGGACUAAUACCGCAUGAAGCAGGGAUCCCGCAUGGGAAUAUUUGCUAAAGAUUCAUCGCUGAUAGAUAGGCAUGCGUUCCAUUAGGCAGUUGGCGGGGUAACGGCCCACCAAACCGACGAUGGAUAGGGGUUCUGAGAGGAAGGUCCCCCACAUUGGUACUGAGACACGGACCAAACUCCUACGGGAGGCAGCAGUGAGGAAUAUUGGUCAAUGGCCGAGAGGCUGAACCAGCCAAGUCGCGUGAGGGAUGAAGGUUCUAUGGAUCGUAAACCUCUUUUAUAAGGGAAUAAAGUACGGGACGUGUCCCGUUUUGUAUGUACCUUAUGAAUAAGGAUCGGCUAACUCCGUGCCAGCAGCCGCGGUAAUACGGAGGAUCCGAGCGUUAUCCGGAUUUAUUGGGUUUAAAGGGUGCGUAGGCGGCCUUUUAAGUCAGCGGUGAAAGUCUGUGGCUCAACCAUAGAAUUGCCGUUGAAACUGGGGGGCUUGAGUAUGUUUGAGGCAGGCGGAAUGCGUGGUGUAGCGGUGAAAUGCAUAGAUAUCACGCAGAACCCCGAUUGCGAAGGCAGCCUGCCAAGCCAUGACUGACGCUGAUGCACGAAAGCGUGGGGAUCAAACAGGAUUAGAUACCCUGGUAGUCCACGCAGUAAACGAUGAUCACUAGCUGUUUGCGAUACACUGUAAGCGGCACAGCGAAAGCGUUAAGUGAUCCACCUGGGGAGUACGCCGGCAACGGUGAAACUCAAAGGAAUUGACGGGGGCCCGCACAAGCGGAGGAACAUGUGGUUUAAUUCGAUGAUACGCGAGGAACCUUACCCGGGUUUGAACGCAUUCGGACCGAGGUGGAAACACCUUUUCUAGCAAUAGCCGUUUGCGAGGUGCUGCAUGGUUGUCGUCAGCUCGUGCCGUGAGGUGUCGGCUUAAGUGCCAUAACGAGCGCAACCCUUGCCACUAGUUACUAACAGGUAAAGCUGAGGACUCUGGUGGGACUGCCAGCGUAAGCUGCGAGGAAGGCGGGGAUGACGUCAAAUCAGCACGGCCCUUACAUCCGGGGCGACACACGUGUUACAAUGGCGUGGACAAAGGGAAGCCACCUGGCGACAGGGAGCGAAUCCCCAAACCACGUCUCAGUUCGGAUCGGAGUCUGCAACCCGACUCCGUGAAGCUGGAUUCGCUAGUAAUCGCGCAUCAGCCAUGGCGCGGUGAAUACGUUCCCGGGCCUUGUACACACCGCCCGUCAAGCCAUGGGAGCCGGGGGUACCUGAAGUCCGUAACCGCGAGGAUCGGCCUAGGGUA